rnacentral:misc_RNA from 1 species
AAGUCGUAACAAGGUCAACUAUCUUUGAGAUUAGCUGCAAUGGAACUUGAUCCUUCCGUUCACACUCGAAGGCCUAGGGCGUCUGCUCCGAGCAGGUAACUCCCGCGACUCUAAAUAAAUGGGUACAUAUGACAACCUCUGGAAAAUAGACCAUGUUGUUAGCCCGUGCGAUCAAAUUCAGGGAACACCUAUGCCAAGCAAGUCAAGCGCCCUUAACUGGGCACUGCCGUUUACACGGGUAAUUCCGGGCGGUAAAGCUUGUGAUGGUUUCCACUCACAGUGGAUAGAUAACGGGUGAAUCCUGAGCCAAGCUCCAGUUUUGGAGAAGGUGCAGAGGCCAGACGGUCGCCGGUCCUUCGGGGCUGAAAGGUAUGGUCCGAUCCCGGGGGUAACUCCGGUUGGAAUUUUAGGGGCGAUUUAAAAGUAACAAAUGUUUCGUAGGUGAACCUGCGGAAGGAUCAUUAGUGAAUAACAAAGGAUUGGAUCUCUUUUAACCAAAGACCUCCUUUCCGUCUUCACUUUCACACACACUGUGCACAUGUUCUUUUUAAACAAUCUUUGUUUAAACACUUGUGUCAACAAUUUGAAAAAGUCCAAGAUGUAAAAGUUGAUAAACGAAAUGUAAAA